rnacentral:tRNA from 1 species
AGCAGUGUGGCUCAGUGGAGAGAGCACAGGCUUGGGAGUCAGAGAUCAUGGGUUUGAAUCCCGGCUCUGCCA